CCAGUUCAGCAGUCAAGAAUAUUAGUCAAUGGCCUAACGGCUGAACUGGCAACUUGGAGAAGUGGCAAGUCUUCCAGUAUGGGGAGCAAAACAGCUAUGGGUCAAGUCCGAUAUCUUUAGGAGAAGUCUUAUUGUGAGGGCGAGUUAUAUAACACCAUAGGACUGGCCGUCCCAUAUGAAAAGAUUAUAUUAGAAUUGAAUGAAGCUUUGUUUAUAUAUUGAUAAUGACAGUAUAUAUAUCGUGUCUUGACUAAUUGCGUGCCAGCAGUCGCGGUAAUACGUAAGAGACUAGUGUUAUUCAUCUUAAUUAGGUUUAAAGGGUACCCAGACGGUCAAUAUAGCUUAUAAAAUGUUAGUACUUGACUAGAGUUUUAUGUAAGAGGGCAGUACUUGAGGAGGAGAGAUGAAAUUUCGUGAUACCAAAGGGACUCUGUAAAGGCGAAGGCAGCCCUCUAUGUAAAAACUGACGUUGAAGGACGAAGGCACAGAGAACAAACAGGAUUAGAUACCCAAGUAGUCUUUGCAGUAAAUGAUGAAUGCCAUAGGUUAGAUUGGUCAAUUAUAGUCUAGGGUUAGUCUAGCAAACUAAUACCCUAUGCUAUAAUUCCAAAUAUCUGGUCUAUAAAUGAAAGUGUAAGCAUUUCACCUCAAGAGUAAUGUGGCAACGCAGGAACUGAAAUCACUAGACCGUUUCUGACACCAGUAGUGAAGUAUGUUAUUUAAUUCGAUAAUCCGCA
rnacentral:rRNA from 1 species